CCCCUUCCUCCUUUCGCCGCCGCUUCCGCCGCCCCCGCCCGGGCGCCCCGAGCCCCUCGGCCGGGGCGGGGAGCGGCGGCGCGGGGCCCCCUCCCCGCGGAGCCCCCGGAACCCCGCGCCGCCCUCCCGGGGGUUUUUUAUGAAUGAAAGGGCCGUAUGCAAAUGAGCGCGGCCCGGGGGGGAGCGCGAAAUGGCGGAUGCGCGGGCGGGCGGCGCGCACACGUACGCGCGUGCCCGCCGUCCCUCUGUCCGCCCGCUCCCGGUCCGUCUGUCCGAAGGGAGCGAGCGACCCCCGCACCGCUUCGCGCCGGGGGCAACAAAGGGUGCCCCCCAACCCCGGCCCCUCUCCGCCCGCCCGCGGCCCCGCUCACUCGUCAGGAUGCUCUGUGAUCAGGCAAUCCUGGGAGAAGAAAUGUGUCUGUCCCACCCAAGCUCAUCACCUUGACCUUCCAGCUUCCAUAGGCCCCUCCCGUUGAAGCAUCCCUUUCUCAUUGCAGGAACAGAAAUGGACACUUGGAGAAAAAUCUGUGGACUGCUAGUAAUGCAAUGAAGGCAAGAGCUGAUGAAAGCUUUGAGGCCUUCCUUCUGGGCAGUCACUCCCAGGGAGAAGCGGCAUAUCCUUUGGAGGUGGUACCAGAAUCCACUGCUUUGGGGGCAUUACAAUGUUAUAGUGAUGCUCCUGCCACUGCCAGAGGUUUGGCCACAAAACCAGACAAUAUAUGAGAGUACAAGCCUUCUUUCCAACCCUUAGCAGCCCAUGGCAUGCUCUUUUGGGUGGAAAUGCUGCCUAUAUCCCCACCCCCUUCCCACCCAUUCAUUCCUCUGCAGAGCAUAGUUUGUCACCCCCUCGGCUGUGCUAAUGCACCCCCCGAGCUGAGGAGUGACACUGCUGGAUCUGCUGAAUGGUCCCAGCUAAUAAUACCCCCCAAUACCUCUUUAUUUUGGAAAGUUAUUCAAGGAUCCAACUUGCAGAAUGGCAUGAUAAACAUCUUGGCAAAGCUGAGUUGGCAGCAAAAGGAAGUGUCAGGGCAGGAGUAAAUGGUUAGGGGCAAGGAAAUGGCAGGAACGUCUUCAGCUGCUGUACAAUAAAAGACCAGAAGUAAUGAUUUGACUCAUUUCUACCCAUCCUAUGUCUUUUUUUUUUUUUCCAAAUGAUGUUGUGAUUGCACAGACCUCUAAGAUCCUUAAAACCUUUCAUGCCAAAAAUUUCUGUGGUCAGCAGGAACAUCAAUGCACCUGAAGUGGGGAGUGUGGCAUUUAGCAAUUGGUUACUACAGAAGCAGAAUAAGGGCAGAGUUAUGGCCGUAUGAAAAACCCAGGGCACAAUCUUGUAAUUAAAAGGCCAUCAUAAUGCAUGUACCACUGAGGAGGACCGGGUAUUAAUCACUGUCUGAUUAAUACUUGAGAGCUUGUCUGUGUGAUCUGGAUGUAUUUUUAUGUGCUCGCGUUGUGUAUGCACGUAUUUGGCCCAGUGGUGAGAAGCAAAUGUGUCUGAGGCUUGGAAGCUGAAGUUUCACUUGAUCUGGCUUCUUGAGUCAUUUCCUGUGGAUUUGCAAGAUCUCAUAUUUGAUCUCUGCUUUCACUGUCCUACUAAUUUAGAAGCUGCUGAGCGAUGUAUUCUCUGAAUGAUUUCUCUCCCUCUUGGUAUUACUUUCAUGCCGAUAGAUGCUCAAUUUUAUUUCUCUGAUAUUCAGGUUACUGUGGCGGUUCUUGCGAGUGGUGCAUUCGAGAUGACUGACUUUUCUGAAUGAAAAGACUCCCUCUCAGAGGUGUGAUUUCUGUUUGUGCCUUGUGUUGUUUGUAUACAGAGUUUCUGCUCAGACACAGAAUAGUGCUUCCCUGUGAUGUGUUCAUUACAGUACCUAGAAUUAAUUAGCUAUGGGUGGCAGAGCUUCAAGGCAGCAGCUCCUGCAUACUAACGAUUUGCAUGCUGUGACUGUCCUGUGUUUUGUAUUCAAAAGAAACAUUUAUUUUGCAAAGUAAUGCUUUAGCUGUUGCAGAGAAUCUGGCAUAUGGACCUCGUUUCUGCUUGGAUUGAAAUGGACUUCCCUGAGUGCUGUUACACCUUUAGCUAUCACUUAUUUAGGGUGAGAAGUAACUGGAAUUUGAAGUGGCAAACUUCAGGAUGGCAUUUACUGCAUGCUUGCAACGUAACCUCCUACCUUCACUUACUCUUGCUUGUAAAACCUUUGAGCUGAAGUCUUCCACACUGUUGAUUUAGGAACCUAAAUAUGAAUGUUGGUACCCUGUUGACUGUGCUGAAUUCAAUGAUUUUUCCACUGACUCACUCGGUGACUUUGAAUGAGUGAGGAGUGGAAGUCAGCAGUCCUGAAUCAUGCCAUCCUCCAGACAAUUACCCCCCUCACCGAUAAUUCUUUCGAGCAGCAAUCAUAUUUUAAAAGCAAUGAUUACAUCUGUGUUUUCCCCCAUUAUAAUCACUCAGAAUUUAAGAGCCACAGAAACAAUCUGCAACAUUUGCAGUCAGCUUGAAAUCUUUCAGUUGACACUUUUUGGGAGGUCAGAGACUGUGGAAAUACUAAGGGUUCUUUUCAGCAGGAGUGGGAUUUCAGCAUGCCUUUGGAGAAUUGGUUUGGAGAAUUGUCAGGAUCAUUUCAGGCACCUGCCAGGGGAAGAGAAGGUGGAGAACUCCUUGCAGUCUUCCCAGGAUGUCGUUUUGGAGGGUGGUAAGAUCAGAGCAGGAAAGCAGAAAGGACCCUCACUGCCAGAUGAACUGGUUUGCUCAAGAACUGACUAUGCCACUGUUUUCUAGUUUUUAUUUCUUUGUAACUCUGUGUUUUACUAGGGCUGAAAGUGGCAACAAAUCUUAGGAGAUCUCUUGUGCUGUUGCCUGUGUGAUUUUUCAGGACACCAAGGGAUCAACCUGGGCAACAGCAAUGACUGUGCUGGUGUCUGGGAAGGCAUUGACCAGUGCAUGCAGUCAGCCAUGAAUCACUUGUGUGGGACAAAUCUGCUGUCAUUUGUAGCUGAUUUCACGAAACCAUGCGCUCUCCUUCACCCUCUCCCAAAAUACAAACAAAGUUUAUUGAAAUGAGGAGACUGUGAGGAAAAGGGGUCUUUUCAAAACCCUUGCUUUCUAACUGGGCACUCUGUUGCCCUCGUAAUAUUCAGCAGUAUGUGAUUUAUAGCUCCCCUGACACGAUGGUUUGGUGUUUCCUUUGUGUGCAUAACUUCCUUUUGAUAUAAAGGGAUGAUAACAAACCUAAACUGUAAUCUCACUAGCACAUGACCCAUUGUCUUUGUGGUGCAGAUGGCAGGAAAAUGCUCUGAUCUUGAGUUCAGCACUUCAGCCUUCCCACCCCCACCCCAAAUUCCACCCUGGUAACAGGGUGGGCAUUAGCAAGUUUAGUGAGACACCAGUGUUGGUGGGGGCGAUUCCUUCAGAUGCAGUGAUGCAGGAUGAUGGUUUUGGGAGUCCCACUGGAGUUGAGUCCCUGGUAUGGACUCAGCAAGAGAUGGGUGCACAGCUGCUUCUUUAUCUUCUUCUUACCUUUUUGUGCUGAAUGACUAGAAGGAAAAACUGCUACAAAACCUUCACUUACCGCUGUCAGUCCCCCAGCAGAGCUUUCCUUCUGUGCAUUUCCAACUCAGCGUGCCCUGGCCCAUCAAAUCAAAAAAAUAAUGUGCACGAACUCUGCAACUGUCACGGCAACCUCAGCAUUAGUCCUAAAGCCGGGCUACUUUUGGCAUGAGGGAAGGGCUGCUCUUCUCUUGAGAUGCCUUUCCACCCUUGAGAGGUUUCUGCAUUUUUGAUACAGCUGCUUCCAGAGCCUCAUGGGAGCUGAACAAACAGAUGUCAAAUACUCUGUUCUUACUUCAGGGAGCACAAAAGUGGAUGGGUCUGGGAUAAACACUGGAGCUGUGCACACCUUUUCCCCCCCUCCUCGGGGAUUAUUUGAAUUAGACUUGAACCCUUAAGUGUAUUUCAAAAAGUUGCCUUCUGAUGGCCAAAAUUCACUUGGGUGUUCCUCCCUGUCUUGCACAGCUAUUGUGAGACCAACCCUUCUGAACACUCAUGUCCCCUUUAUUGCAAAACUCUUUGAUUGGCCUCAGCAGGUGACACAACGGACAGUUGACUACUUACUUUAGCAAAACCAGUUUUCAUGGCUUGACCUCCUUUUCUGACCCAGUGUCUUGCUGUGAGUAGAGGGUCCUAUUCCGUGUCUGAGCAGUUGUAAUUGCAGGAUUACCCAGUCCAGGCCCAGACGUGGGAGAAACCCCCCCACAGGCAUUGAUCAGGAAAGGCUUCUGGAGUUAAAUUAAGCUUUUGAAAUAUGGAAAUGAGGACAUGGCUUAGUCAGGCGUUCAGUGGCAUAUGAUGCACAGGGGAAAUGAGUUAUAUGCACCCUAUUUGUGUCCCUCUGAACCCAGCCCUCAGCUUCAGGGCUGCUCAGUGACAUGACCCAUGCAGAACUUUAAAGAUGCUUGACAAUGUUUGAUUUCAAAGGGUGCCAGUCCACCCUCUUCUCCAGGCAGAUAUUUUUCCUUGUGUCAACAUCCUCAUAACAACUCCAGCUAGGCAAAUAUAGCACAUGGCUUAUGAGUGUCCUGGAAGGACUCAGAGGUGGAGAGUUAGAGCUAAAGAAGGUUCAUGGUUAACCCCAUGCACCACUGAAUAGCUUUUCCAGGGAUAAAUCACAGCACAUGAUGAAGAGGCUGGGAGGAGAGUUUAAUGGUCCUGCAGAGAGCACCACCUUAGACAGCCAUCCCUCAAGAUAUUCCCAAGGAUUCUCAUGGAAAAUAAUCCUACGCUCCUUUUAUGUCCUUGUAAUCACACACAUAUUAUGCUUCCCUGCCCAGUUCUAAGGAGAAAGGUAAUUAGUCACUCCACACAAACCUUUUGGGACUAUGCAUAUACUCCAGUAUGGAAUACAGCUCUGUCUAGAAGGGAAUAAAAAUGCACGACUCUGCUCUGUGUGUGGUUAUUAACAGAAGCUGCCAUUCGCAGGAACUGGGUGCAAGGCCUUCCACGUGCUCCCUGCCAGCUGCAUCUCCAGCAGCAUUGGCUGCCAGGCUUAACAAAGCCCAGAAAUGGAAGCCCAGGUUAUGAGAGCUUCACACCUGUAAUGCCAAAAGCACAGGCUUGACUCCUGCUCACAAAACUCCCUUGUUUUAGAUAGCAGGCUCUCCAGUUUCUUAGAGAAAAAAAAAAAAAAAAAAAAAGAAGAAAGGCUGGUUAUUGCUGGGUGUGUGUUCUGACCUUAAAAGCUGAAAGUAAAAACUCUUCCAGAUAUGGGGUGUGCUGAAGUGGCAGCUGAAGGGCUUUUUUGGUUUGUUCUACAGUUAAUACCAUUGUGCUAAAAUUGCACAGGGAGGAGUGGGGGUUAAUUUAAGAUUUAGUGUGACCAAAAAGAAUUAUUUAAAAAACAACAAAUGGACGACAUUCUGAAAAAUAAGCUUGAUUUCCAUAGUCAGGAGUACUUGACUUAAGUUGCAGGGACUGUGAAGGAAGCCUCCUGGAUCUAUUGCAGGGGUGAAGAGUGUUGCUCUUCCAUUACAGCAGAAGAAAUCACAGCCUGAGGAGAUACCCAGGUGUCAGGGAGAGGACUUGAACUCAUGAGCAUUUGGGAGUCAUCUAGGACAGGAAAACAACAUCUACUCGAGUUUAAUUCCCUGUGCUUUUUUAUGUGUGUCUAGUUGCUUGGCUGUGAGUGGUAUUUAAAUCCCCUGAGCCUCUCCGUUCCCUUGUAAUUUACUAUCAGAAAGGACAGAAAUAAAUUCUAACAUGUUUGUGAGACAUAUCAGAAUUACUUCAAACUUAGGAGAAUUUUGGAGUAAACUUAAAUGCUUCAAAGCCUAAAUAUCACACUGCUAAUUAUCUUCUUAUUAGUUUAAAUCAUCAUGGAUAAAAAUGAAAUGCUGCUGUGAAAACUGCCCCAUCAAACUGAACGUGGUUGUAGCUGUUUGCCUGGUGUGGCCUGAGUAAAAGUGCUCUACUGUGCAUUUCUACUUUAGAAAAAUUCUUUGUGCCCUGAUUUCCAAGUUCGAAAAUAACUCUCUACAGAUGAAACACAUUUUUCACCCUUCAAAGAAGUGUUUUCACCUACAAAUACUCCUUGCUGCCUAAACAAGAGCCCUUUCCUUUACACUUGUGCCAACAUGUAACUUGGAUAAAGAAUUAAACUUAGAUUCUUAGUUAUAA